rnacentral:rRNA from 1 species
AGUGAACGCUGGCGGUAGGCCUAACACAUGCCAGUCGAACGGCAGCACAGUAAGAGCUUGCUCUUACGGGUGGCGAGUGGCGGACGGGUGAGGAAUACAUCGGAAUCUACUUUUUCGUGGGGGAUAACGUAGGGAAACUUACGCUAAUACCGCAUACGACCUACGGGUGAAAGCAGGGGAUCUUCGGACCUUGCGCGAUUGAAUGAGCCGAUGUCGGAUUAGCUAGUUGGCGGGGUAAAGGCCCACCAAGGCGACGAUCCGUAGCUGGUCUGAGAGGAUGAUCAGCCACACUGGAACUGAGACACGGUCCAGACUCCUACGGGAGGCAGCAGUGGGGAAUAUUGGACAAUGGGCGCAAGCCUGAUCCAGCCAUACCGCGUGGGUGAAGAAGGCCUUCGGGUUGGAAAGCCCUUUUGUUGGGAAAGAAAAGCAGCAGGUUAAUACCCCGCUGUUCUGACGGUACCCAAAGAAUAAGCACCGGCUAACUUCG